rnacentral:rRNA from 1 species
GACGAACGCUGGCGGCGUGCUUAACACAUGCAAGUCGAACGGAAAGGCCCUGCUUUUGUGGGGUGCUCGAGUGGCGAACGGGUGAGUAACACGUGAGUAACCUGCCCUUGACUUUGGGAUAACUUCAGGAAACUGGGGCUAAUACCGGGUAGGAGCUCCUGCUGCAUGGUGGGGGUUGGAAAGUUUCGGCGGUUGGGGAUGGACUCGCGGCUUAUCAGCUUGUUGGUGGGGUAGUGGCUUACCAAGGCUUUGACGGGUAGCCGGCCUGAGAGGGUGACCGGCCACAUUGGGACUGAGAUACGGCCCAGACUCCUACGGGAGGCAGAAGUGGGGAAUAUUGCACAAUGGGCGGAAGCCUGAUGCAGCAACGCCGCGUGCGGGAUGACGGCCUUCGGGUUGUAAACCGCUUUCGCCUGUGACGAAGCGUGAGUGACGGUAAUGGGUAAAGAAGCACCGGCUAACUACGUG